UUAGUAUUCUCUUCGUGUCAAAAUUCUUGUCUUAGGUUUGUCUAGAUAUGAAUGUAUCUAGUCACGUUUUAGUAUUUAGAUACAUUCAUUUCUAGACAAAUCUAAAACAAGAAUUUUGGGACGGAGGGAGUAAUAA
rnacentral:pre_miRNA from 1 species